rnacentral:tRNA from 1 species
GGAGAGUUGGCAGAGCGGCUGAAUGCACCGGUCUUGAAAACCGGCAGUGGGGCAACUCACUCAAGGGUUCGAAUCCCUUACUCUCCG